GCAGAAUUCCCUCUCUUUUUCUCCCUCCUUUUUUCGUAGGGCACGAUAUCUUUCACAAGGGCUCAAUUCCCCCUCCCCAACUCAUGAAAUCUUUCAGGAUGCUCAAUUUUCCCUUCCCAACUCGCCAGAAAGAUAAGCUCAAUUCCCCUUCUUCAUCGUCUUCUCUACAUAUUAUAAUGGCAAGGUGAUGCACAUCCAUCGAAGAUUAAAUGCUCCAGUACCAAUGCAAAGGUUUUAAUAUUGGUGGGUUGGUAUGAUAGCACCGAUGGAUACUGGCAGGAUUCAUGUAUUAGAAGAUUUGAUUAAGUUCCUCAAGAUAUAUACGAGAUGUUGAAGUAAGCUAGUUGUAUAUAUAUUUUAUUUGUUAUGAUAUAUGUAUUUGAAUUUGUUAUGUUUCUUACUCUAGUUUAAGAAACACUUCUAUCAUACUCCUUCCCAUUUCCCUUUUCAUAAUGCAUGAUCUGUUCGGGUGCGAAGAAGCUUGGUGAAGGAAUAUAUUUCGCCGCUGAAUAUGUGUGCAAAAGUUUGAGGAUUGCUUACUGAUAUUAUAGUAUUGAGGGGAAGCUACAUUUAUUGGAAGAACAUUUGCAGCAUUGAACACCAGUUGAAGUUAUAAAGAAAUGUUAUUACUAAUACAGAUUCUAGUGGAAUUCAUGCCUUAGAAGAUUUGAUAAAGUCCCUCAAGAAAUGAGAUGUUCAAGUAAGCUGGUAGUAUACAAAUUCUAUAUUUUUGGUUAAAGUUUUGGCACUCUUUUUUGCUUCUUUUGCUUGAAGUUAGCUCCAGAAGAUUUUGACACUCGUUUGUUUGUUUAACUAAUUAUUAUUCCCCCUCCUAUUUUAUCAGUUCAUUUCUUCUACUUCAGUUUUCCAGUGUUGUUAGCGGUCAACUUUGGUGCAAGUUUAACUUCUAUUAAUCAUGGGGCUGGAUUGUUAGAAAACCUAUCGAGGUUGACUUAUAGUUUAAUAGUUACAUAUGUGAUAUUUUUCAUGAAUAUAUAGCUAGAAUUUAUACCGCCAAGUAGAAUAAUUUGUAAGUUUUGUGAUGAUAUACGAGGAAACAGCUCUGUACUUUAGUUCUUAUUCAUGUGAGAGUAUCUAGCAACUUCUGUUUAAUGUUGUUACUUGUUAAACCAAGUGACAGAUUUGUUUGUUAGAAGAUUUGGAGCUUUCAUUUAUUUAUGUAAUUGGAUUUGUCCAACAACGUCUGUAUAAUGCUAUUGUGAGAGUAUGCUACUUGUUUAUAACUUCUUCAUCGAAUGUUUUUGUUUAAUUGUUUUAGCAUAGUGAUGUGAAGAGCAACUCUGCUUCACCCGUGGGUUUAAGAGUAUCAUCAAGUGACAGCAAUACAAAUCACCAAGCAAGUACUUUGAAUUUUUGUAUAUUUAUUCAUUGAGGAACUACCCUAGAUUGUCUAAUAUUAAAGUUAUUAUAUACUUUUUGUGUUUGUAUAACUUUAGUUUUAUUUCAAUUUGAUUUGUAAUGUUUGUUACAAACAUACAAUAGAUAUGUUAAUGGAAUUUGAUUUUUGUUG